UACGGGGGGGGCAAGCGUUGUUCGGAAUUACUGGGCGUAAAGGGCCAGUAGGCGGCCAACUAAGUCCGACGUGAAAUCCCAAGGCUUAACCUUGGAACUGCGUCGGAUACUGGAUGGCUUGAAUUCGGGAGAGGGAUGCAGAAUUCCAGGUGUAGCGGUGAAAUGCGUAGAGAUCCGGAAGAACACCGGUGGCGAAGGCGGUCUGCUGGGGUCGAACUGACGCUGAUGCGCGACAGCGUGGGGAGCAAACAGG
rnacentral:rRNA from 1 species